ACACAUGAUGGUCGAAAACUGGAGCUAAUGUGUAAAGAGCAUCUCUUUCCAUGUUGCUCUGUUUGUGUAACUAAAGAACAUGAUGGGUGUAAAACGUUUUGUCAACUAGAGGACGUUGAUGCAAAUACCGUAGGGCCUCACAAUGUUAAGAAUCUGCAAGCUGAGGUGGAAACUAUGUGUUCAAAUCUUGAACAAAUUAUUACAGAUGAAAAAACAAAUAUGAGCUGCCUCGAUAAUGCAUCAGAUAAAUUUGCCAAAGAACUGUCGGGAAUAACCACAUCUAUCAUAGCCACUAUCAAAAAGCUGGAGGAAAAACACUUGGAUGAAACUGCGAAAUUAAUCAAAGAAUCGAAAUCAAAACUUGAAAAUUCGGUACAAUCAUUAGAGCAUAGACUUAGCUAUCUUCAGUAUUGGAAAGAAAAGUUAACAAAGAAUGUGUCAAAUGAGACAAUUCUUAAAACAAACGAAAUCUUAUCAUACAUCAAAAUGAAGCAUAUUUACGAAAGCAUGGGAAAUUUGGAUUAUCCAAAGUUAGAAAUCUCCAUUCAAACUGAAAUACUCGACAGUGUUCAGAAGCUUACAAGUUUGUCAUGUCUUGCAAAGACGACCUCACGUGAGAAAAGUAAGCAGUGCGCAAUCAAUCAAAGGAUAGUUGAUUUAAAAUGUGCUUAUGUUGUCAACGUUUCUGAAUUCACAAUUAAAAAUUGCAAUUUGCAUGACGGUGAGUUUUUAAGUCGUGAUAAAUUGUUACUGACAGGUUACAAAAAUAAAAGAUGCGUGCUGUGUAACACUGAUGGAGUAGUUCUACAGGAAAUACCUUUACCGGGGAACCCGUGGGGAAUGUGUAUGCACGUGGGGAAUGAAGUCCUCGUAACACUACCUUUAAGCCAGAAAGUCGUAGUACUUGAUGCCAACUCACUUGAAAUAAAACAAUCAGUGCAUAUUGACCGUCGCUGCUUUGGAAUAUCAACGUCUGGUAACACUGCAGUGAUUGGUGCACGAGACUCUGUCUUAAUGUUUGAUAAUUUUCUAGAUAAAAAUAUUUGUAGACCAUUGGCAACAAAGACAAAGUAUGCUGAUGAUGUAGCACUGGGAGGAGAUGGAAAUAUUAUUUUCACCAAUUAUUCUGAAAAUGUUUUAAACACGUUUGACAAAAGUGGGAAGAUGUUAUUCAAGUACAGCCACGAAGAAUUAAAGAGUCCAUACGGAUUAACCGUGGACGGGCACGGAAAUAUAUUUGUAUGCGGAGGUACCAGCAAUAAUAUCCAUAUAGUGUCAAAUGAUGGAAAGACUUUAAGAAUCUUAAAAGGAGUGCAGAACCCUCUGUGUAUAAAAUUCUUACGUGGAACUAACCGAUUUUUUGUUGGUGAAGAAGAUGGUCGCGUAAAAGUUUUUGAACUUCAGAAUAGUUAGACAUCAUCAAUAUUGUGAAAUGUUAUGUAACAGUAACAAUUUAGUACUAUUUAACAGUAUUUCCUAAAUAAAUGAACAAAAAUC
rnacentral:misc_RNA from 1 species